CUACGGGACGCAGCAGUGAGGAAUUUUGCGCAAUGGGGGAAACCCUGACGCAGCAACGCCGCGUGAGUGAAGAAGGCUUUCGGGUCGUAAAGCUCUGUCAGAUAGGAAAAAAGUUCAUAUGUAAAUAGCUUAUGAAUCUGAUGGUACUAUCAGAGGAAGCACCGGCUAACUCCGUGCCAGCAGCCGCGGUAAUACGGAGGGUGCAAGCGUUGUUCGGAAUUACUGGGCGUAAAGGGCGUGUAGGCGGUAUGGUAAGUCAGAUGUGAAAGCCCUGGGCUUAACUCAGGAAGUGCAUUUGAUACUGCCAUCCUUGAGUAUGGGAGAGGAGAGUAGAAUUCCCAGUGUAGAGGUGAAAUUCGUAGAUAUUGGGAGGAAUACCCGUGGCGAAGGCGACUCUCUGGACCAAUACUGACGCUGAGACGCGAAAGCGUGGGGAGCAAACAGGAUUAGAUACCCCCGUAGUC
rnacentral:rRNA from 1 species